ACAACCUGAGUUCCUCCUUUCUGCAAAUGUGGAUUCAAAUGCUUUUCUUUCAUUGGAUUCGUGUGCCUAUCCUUUCUAGUCCCCCUUUGUCAUAGGGAAAGAAGCCCUCCGUACUUCUCUACUUAUCUUUUCCCACCCACCGCCCUCCAUUUAGAGCUCGAUUUCGAACCUUCCUCUUUCCAGGCAGGCCUACUUAUGCAUACCUUACUGAGGAUGGAAAUCCAUACUAUAUUGUUUUCUUCCCCGUAGCCAUUGAUUAAACCUCUGUUGCUUUGGCGGAUCCAGAGUCAGCUCCGGCAGUAAGCUUCCUUCUCAUCUUACACGGGUGCAGAUGGAUAUUGAUGCUUGGAAAGAAAGCGAUUUUGGCUGUGGCCAACGAAUAACUCAAUCUACGUUUUGUAAUCAAGAAGUUCAAUUAGACAGUUUUUAUGAGUAAUUUUGUAUUCCUGACCUACAGUUGAUAGGAUAACAGUUCGGGAAAGGUGGGCGAUGGGUGGGAUAAAAAACGUAGACCCAAAGAGUUAUUCUCAGGAGCUAUUCGUCAAAGGGGCUAUCUUCCCAGGGGCUACUGUUCGCGCUUCGGUCAAUCAGGCAGAAAGGGACAAAAGGGGUUAGACAAGGUAGAUCAAAAUGAGGGGCACAGGUGGUAGAGCCACUAGAUGAUGUUCCGAGGUGAGAAAGGUCACUCUUCCAAGCCGCUUUCAGGCUCCAUUGUGGUACUUGGUAGAACCCAAACAUAUGCCAGGAAAGAAUCAAGCGCACUAAAGGCUUCU
rnacentral:lncRNA from 1 species